GCUAUUUAGGUUAGAGUUUGAUCAUGGCUCAGGACGAACGCUGGCGGCGUGCUUAACACAUGCAAGUCGAGCGGAAAGGCCCUUCGGGGUACUCGAGCGGCGAACGGGUGAGUAACACGUGAGUAAUCUGCCCCUAGCUCUGGGAUAGCUCCGGGAAACCGGGAUUAAUACCGGAUACGACUCUUUCGGACAUCUGAAAGAGUGGAAAGAUUUAUCGGCUAGGGAUGAGCUCGCGGCCUAUCAGCUUGUUGGUGGGGUGAUGGCCUACCAAGGCGACGACGGGUAGCCGGCCUGAGAGGGUGUCCGGCCACACUGGGACUGAGAUACGGCCCAGACUCCUACGGGAGGCAGCAGUGGGGAAUAUUGCACAAUGGGCGCAAGCCUGAUGCAGCGACGCCGCGUGGGGGAUGACGGCCUUCGGGUUGUAAACCUCUUUCACCAUCGACGAAGGUCCGGGUGACCCGCC
rnacentral:rRNA from 1 species